GUCUGUGUAGUAUAUUAAUUACACUGGUCUUGUAAACCAAAGAAGGGGAAGAAAAUUCCCCCAAAGACU
rnacentral:tRNA from 1 species